UACGGAUGUGUGGACACAGUACAUAUAGCAGGGUUUAGAGACGUGGCCAGAGGGUUGUAAGGGUGGAGCAUUAUACAAGAGUUUCAUGUGGAUACGGUGGAUGCUAGGAGUGGACAACCUCCCUUUGUCUCUGAGAAAAACAUUCACCCCUGAGCAACAACGACAAAACAGAAGAGAGCGAGCGAAGAGAAAAGAGAGAGUCUGGAUGGAACUUUUUCCCCAGGCACUGGUCUUUUCAAGUUGUGGAAUCAAAUGUAAUUCGGACAGGCCGGCCCACCCCUUGUUGUGUCCAUACAGGUGUGUGUGUGUGUGAGGAUACACACCUUAACCAGAAGAUAUGGGGACGAUACAUUUCCCUGUAAUGAGCAUUUCCCAAAUUGGCAGAGCUCAUUUAAAAUAGCCCGUGUGUGGAAUGCCCAGGUGUGUCAUGGGAAAGAGCAGUGUCCCAAAUGGUGUUUUCUGUACACUCAGUGUCGACCCCGUACAUACUGGUCUUGACGAGGAGAAGAAGGGGGAAAAAAGUGGUCGAGGGAGGUUCUCUUCUGCACCGUUCAACCAAUCCAGUCAAUGUGGAGGAGGAGUUAAAGAGGGUGUGUCACCUUGACGUCUGGCAUCACGGGCUCUCUUCCCAUUUCCCUUGAAAAACCGGAAGGUCCGGUUGUCGGGGACUCGGCAGAGGCUAUGUCAUAGCUGGCACCAUUCUUUCUGAUGGCAUCUUGGAAUCUUAAAAUUGGUCACAAAAAAAAAAAAAAAAAAAAAAAACUGAGGGAGUUUUAUCAGAAAUUCUGUUGCCAAACUUUGCAUCUGCACAGAUCUUCCAGUGAAUGUGUUUUGUUUACAAUGUGUCGUUGUGAAUUGGUAAAAGUAGUCCUCGUCCAUACAGUAGAGUUGAAAUCAAUGCUUUUGGUUUAGUGUGAAUUAAGGUGAACAAUCUGAGUCCUAAGCUCAAUUCUCUUCCCAUGGAAUUGGCCGUUACUGAACCAGCCUUGCUUUACACACGCUCGUAUGUGAACACUGUCGUAUGACAGGCCAGUACACUUCCAGAAGUUGAACUCAACUUUUCCCAUGACAUCUGAGAAGGAACUGACGCGAUGUCGCGUGUCAAUCGGUUGCUGAACUUUCAACCUCAUUAGAUAAAAAUCAAACCAAUCGAUCUCCAAUCAGAUGAGAGUAACACAGCCCUGAGUCCUCAAACUAACCCUCACCCCUCUAUGGGAGUCUAAUGGACGCCUAUCAGGGAGCUGUUUCACCUGUCCUGCUCUUCCACAUCAGAGCAGAUGGAGCCAGAGGGAGUUAUCAUGGACUGGCACAGUCACGCUGUGCUACUGUAACACAGAUGGGCUACAUUCUUUGGCGAACACUGCUGAAAUGUGCAAAAAUGACUUUCAGUCUG
ensembl:lncRNA